GAUGAACGCUGGCGGCGUGCCUAAUACAUGCAAGUCGAGCGAACCACUUCGGUGGUGAGCGGCGAACGGGUGAGUAACACGUAGGUGAUCUGCCCAUCAGACGGGGACAACGAUUGGAAACGAUCGCUAAUACCGGAUAGGACGAAAGUUUAAAGGUGCUUCUGGCACCGCUGAUGGAUGAGCCUGCGGCGCAUUAGCUAGUUGGUAGGGUAAAGGCCUACCAAGGCGACGAUGCGUAGCCGACCUGAGAGGGUGAACGGCCACACUGGGACUGGGACACGGCCCAGACUCCUACGGGAGGCAGCAGUAGGGAAUCUUCGGCAAUGGGCGAAAGCCUGACCGAGCAACGCCGCGUGAAUGAUGAAGGCCUUCGGGUUGUAAAAUUCUGUUAUAAGGGAAGAACGACUUUAGUAGGAAAUGGCUAGAGUGUGACGGUACCUUAUGAGAAAGCCACGGCUAACUACGUGCCAGCCGCCGUAAAAC
rnacentral:rRNA from 1 species